rnacentral:rRNA from 1 species
AGAGUUUGAUCCUGGCUCAGAUUGAACGCUGGCGGCAGGCUUAACACAUGCAAGUCGAACGGUAACAGGGAGAAAGCUUGCUUUCUUUGCUGACGAGUGGCGGACGGGUGAGUAAUGCUUGGGAAUCUGGCUUAUGGAGGGGGAUAACUACGGGAAACUGUAGCUAAUACCGCGUAAUAUCUUCGGAUUAAAGGGUGGGACCGUAAGGCCACCUGCCAUAAGAUGAGCCCAAGUGGGAUUAGGUAGUUGGUGGGGUAAAGGCCUACCAAGCCGACGAUCUCUAGCUGGUCUGAGAGGAUGACCAGCCACACUGGAACUGAGACACGGUCCAGACUCCUACGGGAGGCAGCAGUGGGGAAUAUUGCACAAUGGGGGGAACCCUGAUGCAGCCAUGCCGCGUGAAUGAAGAAGGCCUUCGGGUUGUAAAGUUCUUUCGGUGAUGAGGAAGGCGGUUGUUUUAAUAGAACAAUCGAUUGACGUUAGUCACAGAAGAAGCACCGGCUAACUCCGUGCCAGCAGCCGCGGUAAUACGGAGGGUGUGAGCGUUAAUCGGAAUGACUGGGCGUAAAGGGCACGCAGGCGGUGACUUAAGUGAGAUGUGAAAGCCCCGGGCUUAACCUGGGAAUUGCAUUUCAUACUGGGUUGCUAGAGUAUUUUAGGGAGGGGUAGAAUUCCACGUGUAGCGGUGAAAUGCGUAGAGAUGUGGAGGAAUACCGAAGGCGAAGGCAGCCCCUUGGGAAUAUACUGACGCUCAUGUGCGAAAGCGUGGGGAGCAAACAGGAUUAGAUACCCUGGUAGUCCACGCUGUAAACGCUGU